rnacentral:rRNA from 1 species
UGCCAGCAGCCGCGGUAAUACGGCGGGGGUUAGCGUUGUUCGGAAUCAUUGGGUUUAAAGGGUUCGCAGGCGGCCUAUUAAGUCAGUGGUGAAAUCUCUCGGCUCAACCGAGAAACUGCCAUUGAUACUGAUAGGCUUGAAUAUAGUUGGAGUAGGCGGAAUGUGUAGUGUAGCGGUGAAAUGCUUAGAUAUUACACAGAACACCGAUAGCGAAGGCAGCUUACUAAACUAUUAUUGACGCCCAUGAACGAAAGCGUGGGGAGCGAACAGGAUUAGAUA